rnacentral:rRNA from 1 species
GAGUCCCGAUUUAUCGGGAUGACGGCGUGCCUUUUGCAUAAUGAGCCUACGAGUUACUCCUCUUUGGCAAGAUUAAUACUGAUAACGGUAGUAGUCGAAGCGAAAGCGAGUCUGAAUAGGGCGAUAAAGUCAGAGGGGGUAGACGCGAAACUUGGUGAUCUACCCAUGGCCAGGUUGAAGCUGCGGUAACACGUGGUGGAGGACCGAACCAGUAGACGUUGAAAAGUCUUUGGAUGAGCUGUGGGUAGGGGUGAAAGGCCAAUCAAACCAAGAGAUAGCUCGUACUCCCCGAAAUGCUUUUAGGAGCAGCGUUGAGUAUAAAGUGUCAUAGAGGUAGAGCUACUGAUAGGGCUAGGGGGCUUCACCGCCUACCAAACCCUGACAAACUCCGAAUGCUAUGACAUGUUCCUCAGCAGUGAGGGCGUGGGUGCUAAGGUCCACGUCCGAAAGGGAAAGAACCCAGAUUACCAGUUAAGGUCCCAAAAUAUGUGUUAAGUUGAACUAACGAGGUCUGAUUGCAGAGACAGCUAGGAUGUUGGCUUGGAAGCAGCCAUUCAUUUAAAGAGUGCGUAACAGCUCACUAGUCGAGCGAUCGGGCAUGGAUGAUAAUCGGGCAUAAAACACAUUACCGAAGCUGUAAACUUGCGAAUUUAUUCGCAAUUGGUAGGGGAGCAUUCCAGUUGCAUUGAAGCAGUAUCGAUAAGGUAUUGUGGAGCGGCUGGAAAAGCAAAUGUAGGCAUAAGUAACGAUAAUGCGGGUGAGAAACCCGCACACCGAAAGACUAAGGUUUCCUGAUCAACGCUAAUCGGAUCAGGGUUAGUCGGGUCCUAAGGCGUACCCGAAGGGGGAAGUCGAUGGACAACUGGUUAAUAUUCCAGUACCAGCUUGUACUGCGAUGGGAUGACGGAGAAGUGAAAGGUCCGCGUACUGACGGAAUAGUACGUUGAACACUGUAGGUAUAGGUUCUGUAGGCAAAUCCGCAGAGCUUGCUAAAGGUGGAUAGUACCACAAGUCUUCGGAUGAGUGGAUAGUGACCCUAAUCAUACUUCCAAGAAAAACCCCUAAGCGUCAGGUACAAGCUGCCCGUACCGUAAACCGACACAGGUAGUCGAGGAGAGAAUCCAAAGGUGCUCGAGUGAUUCAUGGCUAAGGAACUAGGCAAAAUUACCCCGUAACUUCGGGAGAAGGGGUGCCUCGCUUACGCGAGGCCGCAGUGAAAAGACCCAGGCGACUGUUUAUCAAAAACACAUGGCUUUGCUAAAUUUAAAGAUGAUGUAUAAGGCCUGACACCUGCCCGGUGCCGGAAGGUUAAGAGGAGGGGUUAUCCCGAACUUGUUUCGGGAGAAGCUCUUAAUUGAAGCCCCGGUAAACGGCGGCCGUAACUAUAACGGUCCUAAGGUAGCGAAAUUCCUUGUCGGGUAAGUUCCGACCUGCACGAAUGGUGCAACGAUCUGGGUACUGUCUCAGCCAUGAGCUCGGUGAAAUUGUAGUAACGGUGAAGAUGCCGUUUACCCGCAACGGGACGGAAAGACCCCGUGCACCUUCACUACAGCUUAACAUUGACAUUGGAUAAAUGAUGUGUAGGAUAGGUGGGAGACUAUGAAGCGGAGCCGCCAGGUUUCGUGGAGUCAACCUUGAAAUACCACCCUUUAUUUAUUCGGUGCCUAAUCCGACUUAGUCGGAGACAGUGUUUGGUGGGUAGUUUGACUGGGGUGGUCGCCUCCAAAAGAGUAACGGAGGCUUCUAAAGGUACCCUCAGUACGGUUGGUAACCGUGCGUAGAGUAUAAUGACACAAGGGUGCUUGACUGUGAGACAUACAAGUCGAGCAGGUACGAAAGUAGAGCAUAGUGAUCCGGUGGUUCCGCAUGGAAGG